UCAGAUUUAUACCAUUGCAACUCACAUUUUUGGUCCUUGUGGUGUUUGGGAUUCUGAUCUAACUAUACUGAUGCUGGAAUUUGCAGUUCACCUAAGCCCCGAGGGACACCUGGUGAGGUAGCUAAUGUGGAUACUGAAUCAGGAAUCAGAAACCGAAGACCAGGAUGAAGGCAGACAAGUAAGUAAGAAAGACAGUUUGGCCCUGCUUCACCUUCACAGCUUCCAAACAGGAAACAAAAUGAAGGGCAACAGUUCAGGACAUGUGUGGAUGUUGUGAACAAGAAUUUUUAAUUAAAAUAUUGUGAGGACGAGAUGGGACAUAGAAGACCAUGUGGAUCCAGAAUAGGUCUUCACAGUCAUUUACAGAUCUACCACGAAGACACUACCUCUGGAAGACAAUCAUACUCGCCAUUGUGUAAUUGCCUGUGAUGAUGAUGAGGAGGAGGAGUCAUCAACCUAAGUACACCAUUGCCCUGAGUUCCUCAUAAAACUCUGCUCGUAAGUAAGGAACAUUUGGGAGUAACUGUGUGAAUUGUCAAGGUCAUCCCUCUAUUCCAAAGAUCAACAAGGGCAUCAACAGUAUCCCUAGCUCUAGCAGAUGGAAAAUCCCACAGAGCAUUCAGAAAUUCUUCUGGUUUAGUCUAUGGACCCUUUUAAUAGUUCUACCACCCUUGAAAAAGAUAGGGUUAGCAGCAAAUCUAAACCUUAUAAAGUAGUGAUCUAUAGGAUUCUUUCAAUCUCCACCCCACCCCUAGAUCACUAUCAUCAUGACCAGUAAAACCAUAUCAGCAGGGCCAGAUAUUAAUUGAGACAGCCCAUGGUUGCAAUGGAAGGCAGAAAUCCUGAGCUGGCCCAUGGAUUUUGGGAUUUACUGUUUAGGAGCAUAUAGAAUUGUCAAAUAGAGUAGGGAACAAAAUAAGAAAUGAAAUUGGAAGGAGAUUUAUAACUGUCUGAAUUAAAUAUUGCCUAAAACAGGCAUCAAGCAAUAGUGUGUGAUGGUUUCCUUAUGGUGAUAGUAUUAAAAGUAAACAAGGGUGCUUAUGUUUUCAUCUGAAAAUAUGUGACAUGCCAUUUAGUUAUUAUUAAUCUAACCUUGAUAAGUUCAUUUUUUCAUCAAACUAGAAAUGCCACGUUCUAAAUCUGGUGCCAUCUUGGAAAAUAUACAGAUUUUUUAUCUGAUAGCCAUAUGGAUUUGGCCAGCACUAUGCUAUUUUUCAAAUCAAAUCAAAUCAAAUCAUGCGAACAGAAC
rnacentral:lncRNA from 1 species